CCUACGGUGUGCAGCAGUGGGGAAUAUUGGGCACUGGGGGGAACCCUGAUCCAGCGACGCCGCGUGAGUGAAGAAGUAUUUCGGUAUGUAAAGCUCUAUCAGCAGGGAAGAAAGAAAUGACGGUACCUGACUAAGAAGCCACGGCUAACUACGUGCCAGCAGCCGCGGUAAUACGGAGGGUGCAAGCGUUAUCCGGAUUGACUGGGUGUAAAGGGAGCGUAGACGGUGGGACAAUUCUGAAGUGAAAGCCCGGGGCUCAACCCCGGGACUGCUUUGGAAACUGCCUGACUGGAGUUCUGGAGAGGCAAGCGGAAUUCCUAGUGUAGCGGUGAAAUGCGUAGAUAUUAGGAAGAACACCAGUUGCGAAGGCGGCAAUCUGGCUGGAAACUGACGCUGAGGUGCGAAAGCGUGGGUAGCAAACAGGAUUAGAUACCCCUGUAGUC
rnacentral:rRNA from 1 species